GACGAACGCUGGCGGCGCGCUUAACACAUGCAAGUCGAGCGAGAACCAGCCCUUCGAGGCUGGGGAGAGCGGCGAACGGGUGAGUAACACGUGGGUAAUCAACCCUCGGUACUGGGAUAGCCCGGGGAAACCCGGAUUAAUACCGGAUGGCCCUUCGAAUCCUCGGAUUUGAAGGAAAAGGUAGCUUCGGCCUCCGACCGAGGACGAGCCGCGGCGGGUUAGCUUGUUGGUGGGGUAACGGCCUACCAAGGCGACGAUCCGUAGCUGGUCUGAGAGGACGAUCAGCCACACUGGGACUGAGACACGGCCCAGACUUCUACGGAAGGCAGCAGUGGGGAAUCUUGCGCUAAUGCGGGAAACCGUGACGCAGCGACGCCGCGUGGGGGAAGAAGGCCUUCGGGUUGUAAACCUCUUUCAGGAGGGACGAAGCUACUCGGGUUAAUAGCCCAGAGGGUGACGGUACCUCCAGAAGAAGCCCCGGCUAACUACGUGCCAGCAGCCGCGGUAA
rnacentral:rRNA from 1 species